GACGAACGCUGGCGGCGUGCCUAAUACAUGCAAGUAGAACGCACAGUUUAUACCGUAGCUUGCUACACCAUAGACUGUGAGUUGCGAACGGGUGAGUAACGCGUAGGUAACCUGCCUGGUAGCGGGGGAUAACUAUUGGAAACGAUAGCUAAUACCGCAUAAUAUUAAUUAUUGCAUGAUAAUUAAUUGAAAGGUGCAAUUGCACCACUACCAGAUGGACCUGCGUUGUAUUAGCUAGUAGGUGAGGUAACGGCUCACCUAGGCGACGAUACAUAGCCGAUCUGAGAGGGGGAUCGGCCACACUGGGACGGAGACACGGCCCAGACUCCUGCGGGAGGCAGCAGUAGGGAAUCUUCGGCAAUAGACGAAAGUCUGACCGAGCAACGCCGCGUGAGUGAAGAAGGUUUUCGGAUCGUAAAGCUCUGUUGUAAGAGAAGAACGGGUGUGAGAGUGGAAAGUUCACACUGUGACGGUAUCUUACCAGAAAGGGACGGCUAACUACGUG
rnacentral:rRNA from 1 species